UGUCCUACAGUGAAGGGAAUCAGAACUCUGAUCACACACCCUGGAGGAGACAGAAAAGCAAAAGGUUCAAGCUCAUUCCCUAGAGCCCUUUCAGAAGGCCCCGUCCUCAAGACCUCAUCACCUCCUGAUACCAUCACCCUGAGCUUGGGAACUCAACACAGGGACAAAAUGGCUGCUGUGAGAGCUUUGAAAGAGAACGGAUCAGGACUGAAGAGUACGCUCAAGGCCAACCUUUCUGGGAUGCCAUGUUGGCAGAGAUGAAAGUGUCAGAGACAAGAGAGGCCCAGAGAGCCCCCCUGCUCCCCAAUCUAAACAACAAAAGAAGGAAUUUAACCUCAUAUCCUCGCUCUGAAAUUAGUUCUAUUGUCAAAAGAUGACAGCUGUAUCCUGAUUUCAAGAACUUCACGUUGGAAUGAAACAGCAUUUCUGAAACCAUUGUGUUACUUCAAACAGAUCUGUAAUGGCCCCUCAGCAAACCAUUUUCAGAAGAUGUGGAUGCCCGGCCUCAUGUCGGAACCAGAUCGCGCCACUGCUGAGAUGCUAUCCAGCGCCUUUCUUAUUGAGCCGUUUCCCUAGCAGAUGGUGCAAUGCUGCAGGCACACUCCUUCCUGUUAAUUACCAGCCUUUGCUGCAGAUGGAAAUGUCAGUCAGCCUCACAGGUCCUGGUUCCUGCCAUUGCCUCAGUCCAUAGCCCUCUACCUAGGAAAGAUGCUGCCAACACACACCAUGUGUUUUCUGACUGCUGACUAGGCAGGCAACAAAAAACAACUUACUUCAUGAAUAUUCAUGGAGGAAUGUUUAAAGUUCUGUUCAUCUGUGAUGCUUAUAGAUCUGCUUAAAGGGGAUUGCACCUUCCUAAGAACACUCUGCCCCUUGUUUUCCUACACCGAGGAUAUUCAAGUUACCAAAGUGAGUUGCCAUGGCAACGUAGAGAGGACCAGGGAUCCAUCCAUUUGGAGCCUCGUGUAGGCACAUCCAUUUCUGACUAAUGUUCUUCUUGUACCUUUAAGUGUCACUUAAUUAUUCUUGUCCUUCCCUAACGCACCAAUAGUUAUCAAGCUAAACUGAUUAUCUAAUAACUGUUGGUUUUCAUUAAAUGCUGAUUAUCUCAUUAGCACACACAUAACCAGUAUGAAUUCCUUCAUCUUGCUUGGUGUUUAAAACUACUAAAUCGAGAUAAAUGAAUAUCAUCAGAGUCAUUCUUUAUUCAUUAAGUAAAUUUAUUUUGCUCUCAAUGGAAAACUCUUUAGCCAUCAAAAAUGGGCAUUUUUUUUUUCUGGUUUAGAAGAAGACUAUGAGGACUCUGGGCUAGGGAAGGAGACAGCAGAUCUCCAGCAAGCAUUUGACUGAGGGUAAUUCAGAAAACUUUUCCUUAAUUGUCUUCUAAGGAUGCUGUGUUUGAAGGUAAGGCGACAAGUGGAUUUGGAGAACAUUUGCCACAGCUCAGGGCUACACUUAGCAGAGCCUUGAUUCUCCAUGAUUUCAUCCAGAGAUAGUGAGUGUGGAGGCAGCAUUUCCCCAAACAUAGGCACAAGAGCUCACAAUGGAGGCCAAUUUCUUUCUGAAGACAGAGUAACUUGCAUCUGGAAUGGCUGGAUGGUCCUGUGAUAGGCAGAGUUUAACCAGCAUCCCAAGGUAGCAGGAUGGGGCUUGAGAUAGGGAGAGUUGAAAAGUAACUUUAUAGAGUGCUAAAGGAUUUAUUUAUUUCAGAAAGUGAAGUAGUUAUUUUUUAGGUGUUUUUUUUGGGGGGGGGGGACACCUAAUUCAGAAAGUGAAUUAAUUAUUUUUUAGGCGUUCUGGGAUUUUUAGUGAGAAGAGUGUUCCCAGAGUCAGCCAAGGAGAUGUGAGAAAUUACAGGCUAGAGACCAUAGUAGGUGAAGUUGAAAGAUCCUGUGUGGGGCUCUGAGGGACAGCUAUGAAGCACAUGUCUCCUUUCCUCCUUUCAUUUUAAGAAGCAGCUGCUGUUCAUGUGCUUUUACAGGAAAAAGAAAGCAUGUUUAGAUAUUUUACAGACAGAGCAGAGCGGGUCAUUUUGAAUGCCCCCUCCUUCUGAAAAAAUGAAACAAAACAAAAUGACUACACGGUACCAGGAAGGGAAGAUGGGGAAAUAAUGCCAGGAGCUAGCAAAAGCUCUUCACCUUUGAGUUCAGAAUUCAGGGCAGCUGCAUCUCGUGAACAAUGCUUGCACCGGUGUACAGGUAAAUGUUUAACAAGCUUACCAAAAGGCAGAACACUGCUGGCGAUUAUACACACACGCAGACACAUGCAUUACGAAUUUCACCCAUAUAAAGAAUGUGUGCUACAUAAUUCAAAAAUAAGAAAAUAUGCCAUAUGAUUUAUUAUAGAUUCCGUACACACAGUUGAUUCUUAUGGAGUGUUUUCGUGGGUUUUAGCUUACCUUUUCUGACUGUAACCAGCUUCUGCUUGCAGUUCAGCUGUGAUUUGGAAAUAGAAUUGCAUUCCUUUCUGUGAACUCUUUUAUCAUGAAGCUUAUCAACAAUGCAUCUGACCUGUGAUCUAUCAUUAAGUCAUUUUCUUACUGUCAUAGAAAUUGCAUCCAUUACAUUAAAAAUCUCUCUGUUUCAUGUAUAUCUCCAUCAGAAUUC